UACGUAGGUGGCAAGCGUUGUUCGGAAUUAUUGGGCGUAAAGGGCUCGUAGGCGGUUUGUCGCGUCGGGAGUGAAAACCCAGGGCUUAACCCUGGGCCUGCUUCCGAUACGGGCAGACUAGAGGUAUGCAGGGGAGAACGGAAUUCCUGGUGUAGCGGUGAAAUGCGCAGAUAUCAGGAGGAACACCGGUGGCGAAGGCGGUUCUCUGGGCAUUACCUGACGCUGAGGAGCGAAAGUGUGGGGAGCGAACAGG
rnacentral:rRNA from 1 species